UAUGAAUCUUCCUGAUGUCGAGAUCCCUGAUACUCUACGCAUUAAGCAACCUCAGUGUCCACACCAACCGGACAAUGUGGCAUGUGGAUACUACUUAAUGAGGAUGUUGAAGGAUUUGAUUGAACAUGCGAGUCCUGGGCAUUACUUGAGAACGCUAACAAGCACAUCAUAUACAGAGGCACAAAUUGAUGAGUUGCGACAAGAAUAGGCGACAUAUAUGUUGGCGAUAAUCCAAAGUUACC